GCAAAAGAGCUGCAGCGUGUAGCAUCCAGGAGGCUGUGCAGCUGCCUUGCCAGGGCCAGGGGCUUCACAGAACCAGGGCCUGUGACCCCCAGUUCCUGGCAGCAGUGAGGGGGAGAGGAAGCAGCUACGCCCACAGUCCAGCCUGCUCCAUGGGUUGGCACCAGCCAGGCACCGCAGGAGGGGCCUAGCGGACCAGGGACUGUUCCAGCCUCCUGCGAUGAGCAUCUUCCCCCACCGAGUUGUGACUUGGGGUCGCCACUGCGUGGGCCGAGGGAAGGGUCCAGGGAGAAAAGCCACCACGGGCCAAGGUGGCAGAGGGGCCAUCCACAUCCACGGUCAUCUCCACAGCCCUGGGCAGCCCUGCCAAAAGGAGAGGUUGUUCAUCAGGCCAUCUUCGAUGGCAGCUGUUCAAACAUCCUUCAAAGCAGUCUGGACAUCUGGACAGAGACUGCAUCUCUGGCAGCUGGAGGUGGCAGCAGCUGUCUCUGGCGUCUAAGUAGGAGGUGCUGGCAAGCUUUCUGGACAGUCCCUGAUUUGUGGUAGGAGAGGGGGCCAAGCCUGCCUUCUCCUGCUUUGAACACGGCAUGGGCCACUUCCAGCAUCCAAGGACCACAGGGCCAACCAGGCAGAAAGGCAAAGUUGAGAAUGUCACUGAAGGGUGGGGACCAGUCACAGCGACCAAAACGAAACAAAUCCCUGAAACCUUGGCCUGGAUGCCGCGGUGCUGCUCGGCGGAACCUGGCAGGGGCCUGGCUUGCCAUCCAGUGUGUGGGAAAGACGAGAAUACAGCAGCUUAAAAAGCCACUCGUGCCGGGCGCACCCAGGCCCCUCCUGGUGUCAUCCUGCGGAUGAAGGGUUCCUGCAGCACCUGCCCUGGGAGCUCUGGCACCCAGGCGUUGGCUCAGUGCCUAGGGGCCCUGGCAGCUUGGCCCUUUCCCACUGCAGCCUAAAAGAGCCAAGCGGGCGAGGGAGGCGCUGGAGAGAGACCUCAGUCCUGCUGCUGUCUUGCCUGGCCUGCCCAAAUUCUCAGGAGGCUCACACAGGGCUCUUUCGCCUGCUUGGCACCGCCUUGUCCCCUCCCCUGCAGCAGAAACACAAAAUAACUGUCCAGGAGGCGGAGAGCUUCUCCUUCCUUGUACUUGCUCUGGGCAGCCCUCAGCACCCCAAUCUGGGAAGCAGUGGGGGUGGGGGUAGCUUUUCUACCCCAAGAGUCAGGGCAGGGGACAGGCUUUCUUCUUUUGUUUUUUGAGAGAGGGUCUUGUUAUGUAGUCUAUGCUUUCUUUGAACUUGGGGUGACCCUCCUGCCUCAGCCUCCCAAGACCGACAGGACAGAAUUUCUUGGGCCUUCUCUUUGCUAUUGUCACCUUUGGGGAAUGCAUUCCUGGUUUAUCCAUCCUGCCUGCCGUGAUGUCUGUCACUAGCAGAGUCCCCACCCCGUGAAACCCCCUAGGUUUGGGGACCAGGUCCCCUCAGUAGACUAAGCAGCUCCCAGAGGGCAGGGAGAGCCUGUGUCGUGGCUGACUCUUUAUUUGUUUAUUUAUUUGGGGGGGGGAUACCAAGGAUCAAACUCAGGUCUUGGCAUUUGCAAAGCAGGCAGUGGAACCACUGAGCUGAAUCCCUGGCCCUGGUUGACUCCCUGGUUGACUCUGUUAUGAACACAUUUCACAAAAAAUGUGAAAGUCAUAUCGCAUGACACAAAAUUUGAAACGAGAGUGCGAAAAAUAUCGCCCCCCCAUCCCUCCAUCCUAAGACCAGGUCUGCUUUUGCAUUUGUGGAAUUUCUAUCAUUUAGGAGAGGCUCUUUUAUCAGGUGGGAUGGAUUAAUGAAGGUAACCCUUAGCUUUCUCUGUGUGCCAGGAAUUGUUUGGUGUUUUACCUUUGUUGACUCCUUUAGUCCUCACAGCCUGAGGUGGGUAUUGCCAGGAUUCCACUAUCUGAGUUAGAAACAAGGUCAUUGCAGCACAGAGAGGUUCAGCGACUUGCCUGAGGUCACACAGCCAGUAACUCAAGGGGCUGGGGGUGGAACCUGGUGCCUGGGUCUUUGCUUAUAAUUAUGAACAUGUGAGAGCUUAGAAAAACCUACCUAUUCAUUUACUUUUUACAGUACUGGAAAGCCAGGGAAUGUUGAAAUACACCCUCAAACUUUCAAUUUUUUUUUUUUUAACUUUUUAGAUAGGGUCUCACUAAGUCGUCCAGGCUGGUGUUGAACUUGCAACCCUGCUGUCUUGAGCCUCCCGAGUAGCUGGGAUGGCAGGCGUGCGCUGCCUCGUGGGACUGAGAAAAUCCUUUUAUUGUGAACAAUUUCAGACCUAAAAAAGCAGAGAAAGUUAUGGAGGGACCCUCAUGUCCCCAUCGUCCAGGUUUAAUAAUUUUCCUCUUACGGGGUGAAGGGAGGGCAGGGGAAUGGGAAAAAACUGAAAACCAAGGUCUGUCAUGGAAAGGUACAAGAUCUCAAUGAUGACUGUAAACACACAGUAUACUUAAAAAGUACCAAUAAACUAGAUACAAAUGGGGAAAAAUUGCCUCUGUGACUUUCCCCCUAGUUAUUUUACUUAUUUAUUAAUUUUUUGUACUGGGGAUUGAACUCAGGUCUUUGUGCUCCCGAGGUGGGCAGCAGAAUCGCCGGGCCUGCCCCCUAGUUAUUGAAGGGAACGAAGUCUAAGCCAACUGAAUGGUUUAGUGUCCCUGAUCUUUGAAAAUGUGCUGCUUAAUUCAUUGAAGAGGUACCACUUUUUUUCUAUAAAAGAUGGCCGAAGUCAUGUUGCUAGUCUAUUUGUAUUUACUAUGUAUGGAAGUUAUUGUUUCUUACUAAUAUUCUGGGUUUUUCCCCCCUGUGAUUAAGUACAAUAAAAUACCAGAGUUAAGUGUUUCUCUCUGAAAGCCAAUCUGGUAUUUCAAUAUAUGUAUGUUUAAUGAUUAUUAACAGAUAACUUGUUUCUCUUGAGAAAUCUUACGACUUGAGAAAUCAAGUUAUAUGGCAUCUUCCUCUGUAAGUGAAC
ensembl:lincRNA